UUCCUCUUCCUUCUCUAAACCUUUACCACCACCACUCUCUAUCUCUCCGGCACUACUAUUGCAGUAACCAGCACAAUCACGAUCUAGUUUUCUGUGUUUGUUUGUUUUCUUACCAACCCAUCUUCUCUUCCUUCAAAAUCCUAACAAAUCUUAUAUGAAGUGGAAUCGAUAGUUGGUCGACGAAGAACAUGAAUCUAUUUUUUUGCAAGAGAUGAUUUGGAGAAGCGAUGUGGUUGUUUGAUGAUUUAUAACAUUCCCUCUCUUCGAUUUCAGAUUCUUUUAGUUGUAACAGAUCUAAAAUUAAGCUUUUGAAUUUCAGACUUACAAUAUUUCAGAAUGAAAUUUGCCAAUUUGGUUAAUUUGGUGCCGUUUUCUUUUUCUGGGUUAUCGAAUUUGCUAAACUUUGAGGCGUUGAUUUGAGAGGAUUGUUGAAUUUGAUGUUUCGCUAUUGAUGAGAGACUGAAAUGAUUGUUUGGUGGAAUUAAAUGAUAAGAGGAGUAAUGGAGUCUAGGUUCUGUUGUGCUGAAGAAUUGGUGAUGCACCGAGAAGACAAGGAAAGGAUUAAUGGUGCCCUUAUCUUUAGAGUGUCUGUACAUAUAAUCUCUGCCAUCAAUCUCUGUGGCAACUACACGUGUAUAGUGUAGUUUAGUGUUUUUUUUAUAAAUGCUAUGUUCAGACAUCUUAAUAACAAUUACAUAGAUAUUCAUACUUAAUGAAAUAUCUUUUUCUUCACCUGUGAUUAUGGUACCAAGAGCAGGUUAAGCUUUUAAGCUUUUUUGAUCCUUCAAUGGUGAUUUUUUCAUCUUCAACAAAAUUCUGUGUUCUUUCUCUUGCAACACUGAUUCACAGAUACUCUCUUGGGUGAAGAUUAUUUUUCUUUGGUAUUCUUUGUUUCUUCACUUCCUGCAAAUUCUCUUUUUCAGAUCUAUUUUUCUUUUUCUUUCAAAUUUGAUUCCUCUAUCAAGAUUUCCUCAAAUUCUUGAUCAAAUUUGUUCAUCAUACUAGCUUCUAUCUUCAUUCACUUUCGUUGUUUGUUCAAAUGCGUUUUGGUUAGAGUUUGAAUCCAUGAAGUUUUUGGCAAUCUUAAAGCCGAGAAGAACAAUGGACUUGGUUCUGUUGUGGUCAGUGAGGAUUUGGGGAUUUCUUGUGGUUUCCGUGAAGAACAAUAAAUCAUGAUGUUGUGAGAUGAAUGAAGAAGAAUAAUGAAAUGGUUCUUGUCAUGGGUAUGUGAAUGGAUUUGAGCAGAGUUCGUUUGAAGCAAACACAGAGCUGCUGGUGAAGAUUUUUUAGCUGCCCUGUGAUUCAAUCUUUUCGUGAUUUCAUUUGAGUAGGAUUUGACAAAAUUGGGGUUUGGUUUAGUCUGAAUCAGGACCGAAAGUGGUUUCAUUGUAACCGCUGGAUCGUAAUUCACUUCAGUGGUAUACUUGUAAACUCAUAAUUUAACAGUAUUUUUCUUUUAUAAAAUUGAUUGAUUAAA